rnacentral:rRNA from 1 species
UACGGAGGGUGCAAGCGUUGUCCGGAUUUAUUGGGUUUAAAGGGUGCGUAGGCGGCUUUAUAAGUCAGGGGUGAAAGCCGACAGCUUAACUGUCGAAAUGCCUUUGAUACUGUAGAGCUUGAGUACAGAUGAGGUAGGCGGAAUUGAUGGUGUAGCGGUGAAAUGCAUAGAUACCAUCAGGAACACCGAUUGCGAAGGCAGCUUACUGGGCUGUAACUGACGCUGAGGCACGAAAGUGCGGGGAUCAAACAGG